AGGACGAACGCUGGCGGCGUGCUUAACACAUGCAAGUCGAGCGGAAAGGCCCUUCGGGGUACUCGAGCGGCGAACGGGUGAGUAACACGUGAGUAAUCUGCCCCUAGCUCUGGGAUAGCUCCGGGAAACCGGGAUUAAUACCAGAUACGACCACUUUAGACAUCUGCUGUGGUGGAAAGAAUUUCGGCUAGGGAUGAGCUCGCGGCCUAUCAGCUUGUUGGUGAGGUAACGGCUCACCAAGGCGACGACGGGUAGCCGGCCUGAGAGGGCGACCGGCCACACUGGGACUGAGACACGGCCCAGACUCCUACGGGAGGCAGCAGUGGGGAAUAUUGCGCAAUGGGCGAAAGCCUGACGCAGCGACGCCGCGUGGGGGAUGAAGGCCUUCGGUUGUAAACCCUUUCAGCAGGGACGAAGCGAAAGUGACGGUACCUGCAGAAGAAGCGCCGGCUAACUACGUGCCAGCGAGCCGC
rnacentral:rRNA from 1 species